AUUGAACGCUGGCGGCAGGCUUAACACAUGCAAGUCGAGCGGAGAUGAGGUGCUUGCACCUUAUCUUAGCGGCGGACGGGUGAGUAAUGCUUAGGAAUCUGCCUAUUAGUGGGGGUCAACAUUCCGAAAGGAAUGCUAAUACCGCAUACGUCCUACGGGAGAAAGCAGGGGAUCUUCGGACCUUGCGCUAAUAGAUGAGCCUAAGUCGGAUUAGCUAGUUGGUGGGGUAAAGGCCUACCAAGGCGACGAUCUGUAGCGGGUCUGAGAGGAUGAUCCGCCACACUGGGACUGGGACACGGCCCAGACUCCUACGGGAAGCAGCAGUGGGGAAUAUUGGACAAUGGGGGGAACCCUGAUCCAGCCAUGCCGCGUGUGUGAAGAAGGCCUUAUGGUUGUAAAGCACUUUAAGCGAGGAGGAGGCUACUGAGACUAAUACUCUUGGAUAGUGGACGUUACUCGCAGAAUAAGCACCGGCUAACUCUGUGCCAGCAGCCGCCGUAA
rnacentral:rRNA from 1 species